GGAAGGGGUGUAUUUAUUAGAUUAAAAACCAAUGCCCUUCGGGGCUCACUGGUGAUUCAUGAUAACUCCUCGAAUCGCAUGGCCUUGUGCCGGCGAUGGUUCAUUCAAACUUCUUCCCUAUCAACUUUCGAUGUUUGGGUAUUGGCCAAACAUGGUUGCAACGGGUAACGGAGGGUUAGGGCUCGACCCCGGAGAAGGAGCCUGAGAAACGGCUACUACAUCCAAGGAAGGCAGCAGGCGCGCAAAUUACCCAAUCCCGACACGGGGAGGUAGUGACAAUAAAUACUGAUACAGGGCUCUUUUGGGUCUUGUAAUUGGAAUGAGUACAAUUUAAACCUCUUAACGAGGAACAAUUGGAGGGCAAGUCUGGUGCCAGCAGCCGCGGUAAUUCCAGCUCCAAUAGCGUAUAUUAAAGUUGUUGCAGUUAAAAAGCUCGUAGUUGAAACUUGGGCCUGGCUGGCAGGUCCGCCUCACCGCGUGUACUUGUCCGGCCGGGCCUUUCCUUCUGGAGAACCUCAUGCCCUUCACUGGGUGUGCUGGGGAACCAGGACUUUUAC
rnacentral:rRNA from 1 species